rfam:Myotis lucifugus cont2.11671, whole genome shotgun sequence.
GGUGGUUUUCGAAUGACGCACCCUGGAAUCAGGCUCCCUCCUUUCUAGUUCCAGGUGGGUCACCAGAGACUGCA